UCGGGGCUGGAAAGAUCAAAAUAAUUCAUCUGGGGUUUUUUGAUCAUUUAGGGGGUCGUAGCAAACAUCUACUGGGGACCGAGAGACACAGACAACCCAGAAAUAGAGAGAUUGCUUAAAGUAGUCCAGUUCGGAACCGGUCAAAACUGAGCAGCGGAAGAUGUUAUCGAAGAUUACUCGACCCUAUAAUCCUUUAAGACUAAACUGGAUGCUGGGAAUUGUUAGGGGGGGGGGUCUAGAGCGUCUAAGCAGUCAACGGGCCUCUGAUGUAAGAGAGGUGGACAUUCUAUAUUCUGAAUUUGAUUUCAGGGACCAAAACGUCAAACUGGGGCGUUCAGAAGGCGUGCCGGAAUCCUUCUGACCCGAGGGAUGCGGUGAGCACACCCGAACUUCAGGUCCUGCAUCUUCAACCACCACUCCUUCGGUCCUAAUCCUAGGAACCUCGAACACCCCUCGCGUCAAGACGGCUCUGUGCGUUUUGUUCCGACUCUUCUUUGUUCACGGGGGCCCGAAGGCCCCGGUGGUCCCCGAUUCGUGCAGCAAGUGAAGAACCCCUCCCCGCCCCCCGAACGGAUCCCGCUCGUCCCCUAAAUUCUACUCCUUUCUGAAUUUUUUGCGACAAAGUAUCGUGCCUAUAUAUACACACCAUAUAUAUAGUCCACUCUUUACAGUACAAAGUGUUAAAAUGUCAAACAAAAAUAAAUAUCCAUGUUACAGUAGCUAGAAUAUUCCAUAAAA